rnacentral:rRNA from 1 species
UACAGGGGGUGCAAGCGUUGCUCGGAAUCAUUGGGCGUAAAGCGCACGUAGGCGGUUCGUUAUGUCGGAUGUGAAAGCCCUUGGCUUAACCGAGGAAGUGUAUCCGAAACUGGCGAGCUAGAGUACGAAAGAGGAUCGCGGAAUUCCCGGUGUAGAGGUGAAAUUCGUAGAUAUCGGGAGGAACACCGGUGGCGAAGGCGGCGAUCUGGGUCGAUACUGACGCUGAGGAGCGAAAGCGUGGGGAGCGAACAGG